UCUUAUGGAUGAGCAAAGAAAAUAACUUCUUAAAAUGGAAUCUACUGUUGGUGAAGAUCCUGUGAA
rnacentral:pre_miRNA from 1 species